rnacentral:sRNA from 1 species
GCGGCUAGGAUCGACGGGAUCGUCAAA